rnacentral:rRNA from 1 species
UACGUAGGGGGCAAGCGUUGUCCGGAAUUAUUGGGCGUAAAGAGCGCGUAGGCGGUCCGAUAAGUCGGCUGUGAAAGUCAGGGGCUCAACCCUUGAAAGCCGGCCGAUACUGUCGGACUAGAGUUCGGAAGAGGCAAGUGGAAUUCCCGGUGUAGCGGUGAAAUGCGCAGAUAUCGGGAAGAACACCCGUGGCGAAGGCGGUUCUCUGGGACGGUACUGACGCUGAGACGCGAAAGCGUGGGGAGCGAACAGG